GAAAUUUCAACUUGGCGACAAGAACGCUCGAAGGGAUCUUAACCCGGCUGGACAGCGACACCCAACUCCAAAAUAAUGACAUUCUGACACCCAAAAUCCCGCUGCUACUGCUCAAGGAUGAAUGGCCGACUGGUGUGCGACGGCGCCGGCGACUGCGAAAACGGACGACGGCAGCGACGCUGGCGAUCUGAGCUGUGAUGGACGGAACAAGAGGGAAAAGAAAAUGGUACCGUGCGAGAGAGAGAGCAAGAUAUGGUGGCUGCAAAAAUCGUUGGAAAAAGAGAGAUAAAAGAGGCUGCAGAA
rnacentral:misc_RNA from 1 species